rnacentral:rRNA from 1 species
UGAGGAUGGGUCUGCGGCCGAUUAGGUUGUUGUUGGGGUAACGGCCCAACAAGCCAUUGAUCGGUACGGGUUGUGAGAGCAAGAGCCCGGAGAUGGAUUCUGAGACACGAAUCCAGGCCCUACGGGGCGCAGCAGGCGCGAAAACUUUACAAUGCGAGAAAUCGUGAUAAGGGAACCCCGAGUGCCCGUAAAUUCGGGCUGUCCGCCAGUGUAAAUAACUGGUGAAGAAAGGGCCGGGCAAGACCGGUGCCAGCCGCCGCGGUAAUACCGGCGGCUCGAGUGGUGGCCACUAUUACUGGGCUUAAAGCGUCCGUAGCUGGAUUGUUAAGUCUCUUGGGAAAUCCACCGGCUCAACCGAUGGGCGUUCAGGAGAAACUGGCAAUCUAGGGACCGGGAGAGGUGAGAGGUACUCCAGGGGUAGGAGUGAAAUCCUGUAAUCCUUGGGGGACCACCUGUGGCGAAGGCGUCUCACUAGAACGGCUCCGACAGUGAGGGACGAAAGCUGGGGGAGCAAACCGGAUUAGAUACCCGGGUAGUCCCAGCUGUAAACGAUGCGCGUUAGGUGUAUCGGUGACCACGAGUCAUCGAGGUGCCGAAGGGAAACCGUGAAACGU